GACUCGGUAGCUCAGUUGGUAGAGCACUUGACUUUUAAUCAAGGGGUCCAGGGUUCGAAUCCCUGCCGAGUCA
rfam:Erysipelotrichaceae bacterium NYT-BL-F16 NODE_136_length_6500_cov_186.915_ID_271, whole genome shotgun sequence.